rnacentral:rRNA from 1 species
GAUGAACGCUGGCGGCGUGCCUAAUACAUGCAAGUCGAGCGAACGGACGAGAAGCUUGCUUCUCUGAUGUUAGCGGCGGACGGGUGAGUAACACGUGGAUAACCUACCUAUAAGACUGGGAUAACUUCGGGAAACCGGAGCUAAUACCGGAUAAUAUUUUGAACCGCAUGGUUCAAAAGUGAAAGACGGUCUUGCUGUCACUUAUAGAUGGAUCCGCGCUGCAUUAGCUAGUUGGUAAGGUAACGGCUUACCAAGGCAACGAUGCAUAGCCGACCUGAGAGGGUGAUCGGCUACACUGGAACUGAGACCCGGUCCAGACUCCUACGGGAGGCAGCAGUAGGGAAUCUUCCGCAAUGGGCGAAAGCCUGACGGAGCAACGCCGCGUGAGUGAUGAAGGUCUUCGGAUCGUAAAACUCUGUUAUUAGGGAAGAACAUAUGUGUAAGUAACUGUGCACAUCUUGACGGUACCUAAUCAGAAAGCCACGGCUAACUACGUG